UGGUAUUAACUACGCGAAGAAAUGGUAUCUAUACAAUCAAACUAUAAAGAUAUGAAUUCAAAGCUGAAUCCAAACACUAUGGAA